ACACAGCAGAAUCUUGAGAGGGAGAGGCAGAGCCUAGAGACCCUCAAGGGAGAGAUGUCUGCAAAUGAUGGGACUGUGGGACUGUGGAACAGUGGGUCAGAUGUCCGGGACUGGGCUAAACAUGAACCCCCUGCAGCCAGUAAUGAUUCUCUGCUACAAGUGAGAUCAAGAAUUGAGGAGACUUCUCUGGGCCUAAGGCAGCAUAGGGCACGGCUUUAUAGCCAAACAGGUACAAAGUUUGUGAAAGACAUCAAAUGUUUUAACAAUGUUUUUCACAUUUGAUUAUUAUCGGAAUGUGUCUUCUCUGAUGUCUCCCAGACAGCAACUAAGGACGCUCUGUGAUCCGCAACCACAUGUGGAGGGAGCAGAAACAGCUUGAGAUCUAUGUGGCUCAACAUGAUACAAUGGUCCAACCCCAAGAGCAAAUCGGCCCUGUCAGUAACACAGUACAAGCUGGCUACAUAUUUCCUUGGCAGUUAACCCCCAGUGAUGGUGUGGAUUUCCUUGCCAAAAAAAAGAUUUUUGAUGAGGUAAUGCACAUAAGAAGACUUGAGGAGGAAGUGAUGAUCCUUGCUACAGAAGUAAGGCAACACUGGGAGUUCCUCAAGAGAAGGGAGCAGACAUUGAGUGGUCUAUCCAUCAGCACUGAGGCCACGGCAGCCUCUCUGAAGAAGGACUUUGAGGUCUUCAGGCAGAGUUCAACAGAAGGAGGUCUCAGCUGCAGUCUCACCUUAUCACUGUUAGAAAUAAAUACUUGCAAGUGGUAA
rnacentral:lncRNA from 1 species